UUUUACUGGUGGUUUAUUUGCAAAGAUAGAGUGGAUUAGAUUGAUAUCUAAAUGAGAAUUGACUAGUAAAGAAAAAGAAUGUUCAAGUUAAAAAAUCAGUGAGAUAAGUGGACGAGCAAUUUAUCUCCUUGCCGCUGGGUGAACAUUUUAACUCUCAAAGAAAGACAGACACCCUUUAGUUAUUUGACCACAGGGCUGAAUAAACAAAGAUUAAAGAGACAAGGGUAGAUGCAAGAUAUCUUCAAGUUAUAAAACGAAUGAAAUAACGUAUAAAAGCGAUUAUUGGAUAAAUUAAUACUCUUCGUCAGCUUCGUACAUUUCGUUAUCCAUAGAAUCUUGACCAACCUCUUCGUAAUCCCUUUCUAAGGCAGCCAAAUCUUCUCUGGCUUCUGAAAAUUCACCUUCUUCCAUACCUUCACCGACAUACCAAUGAACAAAAGCACGCUUGCUGUACAUAAGGUCAAACUUGUGGUCCAGACGAGACCAAGCUUCAGCAAUCGAGGUGGUAUUUGAAAGCAUACAAACAGCACGAUUUACCUUAGCGAUUCCACUACCAGGAACGUGUUGGGGUGGCUCAUAGCAAAUACCGAUUUUGAAACCAGUAGGGCACCAAUCAACAAAUUGGAUGGUGCGACGAGAUUUAAUGCUAGUAACGGCAGCCUGGACAUCACGUGGGAUAACAUCACCACGAUACAAAAGACAAGUAGCCAUAUAGCGGCCAGUUCGUGGAUCACAUUUUACCAUUUGAUUAUAAGGCUCAAAGCACUGAUUCGUAAUCUCUUGUACGCUGUUGGAUUCAUGGAAUGCUUUAGCUGCACUGACAAUAGGAGAAUAAGUGACUAAAGGAAAGUGAAUACGAGGGUAUGGCACAAGAUUAGUUUGAAACUCAUUUAAGUCAACAUUUAAGCUACCAGCAAAUCGAAGAGAAGCGGUGAUAGAAGAGACAACUUGAGCAAUAAGGCGGUUGAGGUUUUCAUAGGUUGGACGCUCAAUGUCAAGAUUUCGGCGACAGAUAUCGUAACAAGCCUCAUUAUCAACCAUAAAGGUACAGUCAGAGUUAUCGAGAGUAGCAUGGGUAGUGAGCACAGAGUUGUAAGGUUCAACAACGGAUGUGCUCACUUGAGGGGCGGGAUAAACAGAAAAUUGGAGGUUAGAUUUCUUUCCGUAUUCCAUGUUCAAGCGCUCCAGAAGUAAAGCACCCAAACCCGAGCCGGUACCACCACCAAAAGAAUGAAAUACAAGGAAACCUUGGAGACCAGAACAAUUGUCAGCCAUACGACGUAUCCUUUCUAAUACACUAUCAAUCAUUUCCUUUCCUACAGUAUAAUGUCCACGGGCGUAAUUGUUAGAAGCAUCUUCCUUACCAGUUACCAUCUGUUCAGGAUGAAACAGAUCUUUAUACGGUCCAGUACGAACUUGAUCAAUAACGUUAGGCUCAAGAUCAACAUAGAUACUUCUAGGUACGAAUUUUCCUUGCCCGGUUUCAGAAAAAAAUGUACCGAAUCCAUCAUUUAAAUAGCUAUUGUUUUUGUGAACUUCGGAGUUUUCUGUAGGAAAACCGUCGGGUCCUAUGCCAUGCUCCAAACAGUACAACUCCCAGCAUGCUAGAAAUGUUAGCUAAAUUUUUUAUGAAAAAAUCGAUUGCCAACUAUUUAGAGUAUACAGCAAUACAAAAAGAUGGAUAUUGAACAUACCGUUACCGAUUUGAACACCUGCUUGUCCAACAUGAACAGAAAUUACUUCUCUCAUAAUUUGUGAUAAUAACGAAUGUAAAUGCAACUAAACGCGCUACACAAGACGUUUUGGUUGCAAACUUAGGUUGUUUGUCAAGGGAGAGCGUAGGUACUCCAAGUCAUGAGUAGGAAAUAACGAAAAACGAAUGAACUCGUAAAGCACUAAGGAGGGAAGUUUAUGCAAUGAGGUUCCAAAACUCAUACCAUGCAAAUAACAUAAUGUUUUAUAAAGAAGUAAUAUAAGUAGUAUUCAUUAAUAUUCUUGCAAUGAUCAAUUUUCGAAUUUUUCUGUACUGUACGGAUUGAAGUGACGAUAAAUGUAAACAAAGAACUAUGAUUUGAAAGACAUUUUUUCACGAAGCAAAUGAACAUAAUUAUUAGUAUUUAAGCAUAAAUAAUGAGAAUUAUGCUCCUUUGCCAAAGAAUACGAGAAUUUGUUUCAAAUAUGUAACAAUUGUUUAUAAAAACAUACUAGCAACACUUUACGGUUUUUGAUAAGAAAGGUUAUAAUCAUUGCAUUGCGU
rnacentral:lncRNA from 1 species